rnacentral:rRNA from 1 species
AGAGUUUGAUCCUGGCUCAGGACGAACGCUGGCGGCGUGCUYAACACAUGCAAGUCGAACGGAAAGGCCCCUUUGGGGGUACUCGAGUGGCGAACGGGUGAGUAACACGUGAGUAACCUGCCCUUGACUUCGGGAUAACUUCAGGAAACUGGGGCUAAUACCGGAUAGGAAUCCUUGCUGCAUGGUGGGGGUUGGAAAGCUUCGGCGGUUUUGGAUGGACUCGCGGCUUAUCAGCUUGUUGGUGGGGUAGUGGCUUACCAAGGCUUUGACGGGUAGCCGGCCUGAGAGGGCGACCGGCCACAUUGGGACUGAGAUACGGCCCAGACUCCUACGGGAGGCAGCAGUGGGGAAUAUUGCACAAUGGGCGGAAGCCUGAUGCAGCAACGCCGCGUGCGGGAUGACGGCCUUCGGGUUGUAAACCGCUUUCAGCAGGGGCGAAGCUUGUGGUGACGGUACCUGCAGAAGAAGCACCGGCUAACUACGUGCCAGCAGCCGCGGUGAU